rnacentral:rRNA from 1 species
AUUGAACGCUGGCGGCAGGCUUAACACAUGCAAGUCGAGCGGUAGCACAAGAGAGCUUGCUCUCUGGGUGACGAGCGGCGGACGGGUGAGUAAUGUCUGGGAAACUGCCUGAUGGAGGGGGAUAACUACUGGAAACGGUAGCUAAUACCGCAUAACGUCGCAAGACCAAAGAGGGGGACCUUCGGGCCUCUUGCCAUCAGAUGUGCCCAGAUGGGAUUAGCUAGUAGGUGGGGUAAUGGCUCACCUAGGCGACGAUCCCUAGCUGGUCUGAGAGGAUGACCAGCCACACUGGAACUGAGACACGGUCCAGACUCCUACGGGAGGCAGCAGUGGGGAAUAUUGCACAAUGGACGCAAGCCUGAUGCAGCCAUGCCGCGUGUGUGAAGAAGGCCUUCGGGUUGUAAAGCACUUUCAGCGAGGAGGAAGGUGGUGAACUUAAUACGUUCAUCAAUUGACGUUACUCGCAGAAGAAGCACCGGCUAACUCCGUG